AGAGAGAGAGAGAGAGAGAGAGAGAGAGAGAGAGAGAGAGAGAGAGACUCAUUCACCGCGUCUCUCCCCUCUGAUCGUGAAUACGAGUUUCUAGUUGUUACGUUAAUCUCACCCCACCCUGGAACGCUUAUUUUGUUGCGUCUACAGACUAGACCCCUCGGUCAUCCGUCGACGGACGGAGGUAGUGUGAAUGCGCCCUGGCCUGAAUACGCGCGGACCAUGGACCUCUAAAGACCGUUUGGAAUGCGCCCGGACCGUUUUGAGUACACCAUCCGGGUCCUUUCAGUGCACUGCUUUCCCCCCGAUCGUAAUUGGAACGCCCUAAUCAAACUAAGUAUAGACGUAUGAAGCGAUGCAUCAGUGACUGAGUGUCUCUACCUGCUGUUUGAACCAUCAAGUGUCUCUUUGUAUUUGAGCUUCUAGACAGCGCAGCUAUCUGUCUGUCGUUCAUAUUUUAUUAAAGAGAUGAUUCUUCAUCUCUGAGGGAAGUCAUGGAGCAGCAGCCUCUAAGAGGUUAGUCUGACAGGACUGUAAACUGGGAGGGGAACGGGACCAACUGUUCACAACAGCGUACUUUAACUCUGAUUUAGUCGGACGGUUUUUAUUUCACACUUUAUUGCAGCAGGAAGAAGACUAAGCUCCUUUAUAGUCAACCCCCACCACACGUUAUCGUCGUCAUUUUGAAUACCCAAAGGCACUUUUAAGAGCCACGUCCAUCUGUCUGCCUUUCUGUCUGGCUGUCUGUCUAUCUAUCUGCCUGUUUGGCUGUCUAACUGUCUGUCUGUCUGUCUGUCUGUCUGUCUGUCUGUCUGUCUGUCUGUCUGUCUGUCUGUCUGUCAGUCUGUUUGUGUUGCAAUGGCCAUGAGACAUACCAUUGACCGCCAGCAUCCCAGCUACAAAGAGGGGAAACGUAAAUUGCUUGAAAGUAAACAAGACCACCUUAUAGCUGAAGCUGAGAGAGCCGUUGAGGAGAGGAAACGUGCGCGUUCUGGUGGAGGACCUCCAUGUGGCUCCACUAGUGACGGUGCAAGACGAGGCAAGCCGAGGGGAGGCGUGGAGGGCGACGGAGAGGGCGACGCAAAGCCUCAGCCACAG
ensembl:lncRNA